AUUGAACGCUGGCGGCAGGCCUAACACAUGCAAGUCGAGCGGAUGAAGGGAGCUUGCUCCUGGAUUCAGCGGCGGACGGGUGAGUAAUGCCUAGGAAUCUGCCUGGUAGUGGGGGAUAACGUCCGGAAACGGGCGCUAAUACCGCAUACGUCCUGAGGGAGAAAGUGGGGGAUCUUCGGACUUCACGCUAUCAGAUGAGCCUAGGUCGGAUUAGCUAGUUGGUGGGGUAAAGGCCUACCAAGGCGACGAUCCGUAACUGGUCUGAGAGGAUGAUCAGUCACACUGGAACUGAGUCACGGUCCAGACUCCUACGGGAGGCAGCAGUGGGGAAUAUUGGACAAUGGGCGAAAGCCUGAUCCAGCCAUGCCGCGUGUGUGAAGAAGGUCUUCGGAUUGUAAAGCACUUUAAGUUGGGAGGAAGGGCAGUAAGUUAAUACCUUGCUGUUUUGACGUUACCAACAGAAUAAGCACCGGCUAACUUCGUG
rnacentral:rRNA from 1 species